AUGUUUUUUUUAACUCCGCUUCUCUGCCGACAAAAAAACGAAAAAAUAUGCAUAACCAAUCAAUUCCAGCACGAGUGAUAAAAAUUUUGAUAGUUAGUAAUUUGAGAUUUUAAAUUCGAAAUAUGAUUGUUUGAUAUUUUUAGCUAAAUUCAAAGACUUUUUGUGCUUUAUAACUAAUAAAACUCUGAACUUUGUUGACAGAAAAUUUAUGAAAUAAAAAAAUCUAAAGUUUAAUAAUUGUAAAUUGAAAGAAAUAAAGUUGGGUGGUCUAUUUCAAACAAAUCUAUAGGCUUAGUUUGGUAUUGAGGCACAUAUGGCGUUAUUAGAUAAAAUAGAGUUGGUAUACAAGUAUAUAGGAAUAUGUUUCUAUAUUUUUCGAUAAGACCAUAGAAAAUAUAUCGUAACCGAUUUAUCGCGAUAUGCGGAACAUAAUAUUAUGUACAGAAACAAAUAAGGCAUUUUUUCAUCAGUCAAUAACGUUUCCACACUCCUACCUUAUUAACAUAAAUAAAAUAAAUUACUGUAUAUGUUAUUUUUGUAGUGUCGUUCGAUAUAAUUUAUUUUAAGAUGUAUAAAUGUAAAAUUUUGAGACUCUGCAAUUCAA
rnacentral:lncRNA from 1 species